AGUUUAAUCUCUGCUGUUGUGGUCAUGAUUUAUCUUCUGUUUAUUCGGAUUAAAUAUCGUAAUAAUUUGCUCAUAUUUCCAACAAUUCCCACAUCACCAACUGAGAAAUAUUUUCCUCUCCAAAGCUUAAUAUGGAGAUUUAACAAUUCUGCAUUGGUAUUAUUUGCUGACAUCAAUUUUUUUUUGCAACAAAAUUAAUUUUAGUCUGCUCACUACCAGCUACGAACAAAAUCUAACAUAAGGCAUCAACAAAACUGCAUAUACCUACAAAAUAAAAAUGAUAUCCACAUAAAAGUAAAUAAUUGAUUUUAUUGCUAGAUCACUUGUUUCCUUCAGAUACAAAAUAUAGUGUGCUAGCGCACUUAGUGAAAGCUGAAGCAAUUAUCUAUGAACCCCACAGAUAUUUAAAACUUUAACGUUGAUCUGAUAACCUUAACUGUGUAACUGCAAAAUUAAAUAAGGUAUAUAGUUGAACUUGUAAAAAUUGGGACAUAACUUUCAAAACCUAAAUGGCAAAGAGAUUUUCCCCCAAUUGUACAUAUGCAAUGUAUUCAUACCAGUGUAGAUGGGUAUGCUCAUUGGCUUGUGUACAUACCAGGGAGAGACUGUUUCAGGCCAUUAGCAAGUCGUACAUGCACACAUGACAAUGACUUGGCACAUCUGCAUUGUAUUAGAGCAGUAAAUUCAUCAUCGAUCUUAGUUGGUAAUUAGAUAGUUUAGUGGCUGAAUGCACUAACCAAAAUCUAUGAACUACGAACUGAUCUAAUUAUACCAAUGAAACAAAACAUUAAUACUUGCAUAUAGUAUAUGGUAAUCUGCUUGAUCUGCUUGUAGAUAUCAUCCCAAGCACACUAUACGGAGUACGGACAGGACACACGAUGUGAUUGGCUCUCUGGCGCCGGCGCUGCUCUGGCGCAGCGCGUGAACUCAAACCGAGUUUGGGGUGUGAAUCUUGCAUGCUGCCAAUCCAUUGUAGUUCCUGGAAUCUGCCCUAACCCAGGUCCGUUGCUGGCUGCCUGCCUGAAUACGUGCCUCCCAGCCUACAGUCAACGAUGUCAUGUUGGGCGCUGAUGAAUCUUGAUGUCAAGGACAGCUAAAAGAUGGCACCCGUAGAUGGAAAGAAAGAUGAACACCAGCGCUAGGGCUUCAGCUCAACAAAGCGCCAAUAGGAAAGAAGAGUAAUAUAACAGAAGAAUAAAGGCUACAUGUUACUUUCGUGCGGAUUGGGGCCAGCAGCAACUGCUGACGAAUGUGCACUCUGAAACCUUGCCAACGACGGCAAUCGCCGAGGCUGCUUCAAACUGCUAUCUGCCUAUCCGUGCACCACCUCUGCUGCAUCAAAAACCACGAGAUUGAUUUAUUGAUAGGGCUGAAAACGAUUUCAAGAUUGUAAUAUACUGUAGUUAUAACCUGAAAUCAGUUAUAGGACAGAGAGGAUCGGGGAGAGAAAAAUGUUACAUCGAUUCGAGGAUGAGAAGUGUUUUGGCUCUCGCCGAUCUGUCGAUGAGGGAGAGAAGAAGCAAGGGGUUACGUCGAUGCCGUUGUAGAGGAGAAGCGACCGAUCCUGCCUGCACGGGUCGGUUGUUCUUUUAUUUUUGGAGAUGUUUUUUCUACAAUGGAGAUGGAUUUGUUUUGGUAUAAUUUUAAUUGGCCUACGUGAGCCUA